rnacentral:rRNA from 1 species
UGAGUACGAGAUGCUACGGCAUCGAAGCAGUCUAUGUCAUACUUCCAAGAAAAGCUUGCACUGUCAGAAACAGAUAAUGCCUGUACCAUAACCGACACAGGUGGGUAGGUAGAGUAUACUAAGGGGCGCGAGAUAACUCUCUCUAAGGAACUCGGCAAAAUGACUCCGUAACUUCGGGAGAAGGAGUGCCUUAUUUUUAAGGUUGCAAUAACAAGAUCCAAGCAACUGUUUACCAAAAACACAGGUCUCCGCUAAGUCGUAAGACGAUGUAUGGGGGCUGACGCCUGCCCAGUGCCAGAAGGUUAAAGAAGUCGGUUAGCAUUCGCGAAGCUGGUAACUGAAGCCCUGGUGAACGGCGGCCGUAACAAUAACGGUCCUAAGGUAGCGAAAUUCCUUGUCGGGUAAGUUCCGACCCGCACGAAAGGCGUAAUGAUUUGGAUACUGUCUCGGAGAGGGGCUCGGUGAAAUAGACUUGUCUGUGAAGAUGCGGACUACCUGCACCUGGACAGAAAGACCCUAUGAAGCUUUACUGUAACUUGAAAUUGAAAUUGGACUUUAUUUGCGCAGUAUAGGUGGGAGGCGUUGAAAAUAUUCUUGCGGGAAUAUUGGAGCCAUCAGUGAGAUACCACUCUUGUAAUGUUAGAUUUCUAACUUUAUAUCAUUAUCUGGUUAAAGAACAGUUUCAGGCGGGCAGUUUGACUGGGGCGGUCGCCUCCCAAAUGGUAACGGAGGCGCACAAAGGUUUCCUCUGAACGGGUAGAAAUCGUAUCUAGAGUGUAAAGGCAUAAGGAAGCUUGACUGUGAGACCUACAAGUCGAGCAGGGACGAAAGUCGGUCUUAGUGAUCUGACGGUGCUGAGUGGAAAGGCCGUCACUCAACGGAUAAAAGUUACUCUAAGGAUAACAGGCUGAUCUCCCCCAAGAGUUCACAUCGACGGGGAGGUUUGGCACCUCGAUGUCGGCUCAUCGCAUCCUGGGGCGGUAGUACGUCCCAAGGGUUGGGCUGUUCGCCCAUGAAAGCGGUACGCGAGCUGGGUUCAGAACGUCGUGAGACAGUUCGGUCCAUAUCCGGUGUAGGCGUUAGAAUAUUGAGAGGAGCCUUCUUUAGUACGAGAGGACCGAGAAGGACAUACCUCUGGUGUACCAGUUAUCGUGCCAACGGUAAACGCUGGGUAGCUAUGUAUGGAGUGGAUAACCGCUGAAAGCAUCUAAGUGGGAAGCCCACUUCAAGAUAAG